rnacentral:rRNA from 1 species
GACAAUGAUCAGUAGGGGAACUGAGAGGUUGAUCCCCCACACUGGCACUGAGAUACGGGCCAGACUCCUACGGGAGGCAGCAGUAGGGAAUAUUGGACAAUGGGUGAGAGCCUGAUCCAGCCAUGCCGCGUGCAGGAAGACGGCCUUCUGGGUUGUAAACUGCUUUUAUCUGGGGAUAAAAAGGUCUUGCGAGGCCAACUGAAGGUACCAGAUGAAUAAGCCACGGCUAACUACGUGCCAGCAGCCGCGGUAAUACGUAGGUGGCAAGCGUUGUCCGGAUUUAUUGGGUUUAAAGGGUGCGUAGGCGGUCUAUUAAGUCAGUGGUGAAAGACGGUAGCUCAACUAUCGAGGUGCCAUUGAUACUGAUGGACUUGAGUGCACACGAGGUAGGCGGAAUGGACGGUGUAGCGGUGAAAUGCAUAGAUAUCGUCCAGAACACCGAUAGUGAAGACAGCUUACCAGAGUGCAACUGACGCUGAGGCACGAAAGUGUGGGGAUCAAACAGGAUUAGAUACCCU